UAUAAAAAAAUUCAGCAGUUCGACAGGGGUGCGGGGUUCAGUUCGACGAUGACGAGCCAGGCAGCCGGCCUUUGCAUCAUGAACUGGCGCAAUUUGAUCUUGUUCUAUUCGUGCAAGUUCAUCCACCGCUGCAACCACGCCUCCCCCUCACGAUUUCUCAUUGAUAUCGCUGUAUUCGUGCUUGUUUCGUGAGUUGCCUGAUGGAAGUUCUGCAACUGUCAGUCCAGAUGGAAGGAGAUCCGUCCAAAGUAUAUAAACAAGCUGGUGGCCGCCCAUCUCUGCAUGUAUUUUAUUUGGGAUAGCCAAAUCCUGGCGUGCCCAGCCGCUGCUCGU